rnacentral:rRNA from 1 species
GACGAACGCUGGCGGCGUGCCUAAUACAUGCAAGUAGAACGCACAGUUUAUACCGUAGCUUGCUACACCAUAGACUGUGAGUUGCGAACGGGUGAGUAACGCGUAGGUAACCUGCCUGGUAGCGGGGGAUAACUAUUGGAAACGAUAGCUAAUACCGCAUAAUAUUAAUUAUUGCAUGAUAAUUAAUUGAAAGGUGCAAUUGCACCACUACCAGAUGGACCUGCGUUGUAUUAGCUAGUAGGUGAGGUAACGGCUCACCUAGGCGACGAUACAUAGCCGACCUGAGAGGGUGAUCGGCCACACUGGGACUGAGACACGGCCCAGACUCCUACGGGAGGCAGCAGUAGGGAAUCUUCGGCAAUGGACGAAAGUCUGACCGAGCAACGCCGCGUGAGUGAAGAAGGUUUUCGGAUCGUAAAGCUCUGUUGUAAGAGAAGAACGGGUGUGAGAGUGGAAAGUUCACACUGUGACGGUAUCUUACCAGAAAAGGACGGCUAACUACGU